UUUCCUGGUUGUAAUUCCAGUUCCGUGGCCUUCUAGAAUAUCAGAUUCUGAGCCCUCCACUAAUUUUGAGGGUCAGCUACUGUAAUAAUGAAGGUGUUGACCGAAUUGAAGAGGUACUGGGGAUCAAGAAGGCUUGGUAACAGGGAAUGGAAGAGAUUCUGAUCCAGAAGAGUAAUUUUUCCUGUUGCUUCUUGAAGAAUGCAAUUAUCAUCAAGGUUCCAAGUGCCAUCAAUUGAGGAUGAGAAAUAGAAAGAAAAUACAUGGCAUAUAGUAUGUGACAUAAAUAGUUUACCUCAGAAUUAAAAGAAGGAAGAAGGAAAGAAGAAAGAAAACAAAGGGGAGAGAAAGGAAGACAUCUAUAUUUGAUUUAGAGCAUCAUUACCCUUCAUAAAGAAGCUGCAUAUGUACCAUUUCAUACAUAUAAUAGGAAUAAAUUAUCCAUUGGACUAAAUGGAAUAAGAUCCCUUCCAAAUAAGCUCCUAUUUCAUACAAGUUGAUCUGCAGAAGAAACAGACAACACCAAGGAUAAACAUAGCAACAG
rnacentral:lncRNA from 1 species